GCCGUUCCCCGGAAACACAGGCGUCUCGGCCGAGAGGUCGGGUUUGCAGGCCCGGAUGCACUCCUGGGGGAGAGCGCCAGCCGCACCAGCCGCACACUUCCAUGGAGGCCUGAAGUAGCAAGGCCAGCAGCAGGGCCCCAGAGCAGCUGUAGCACAAUCUCGGCAUCUUCCAGGUGGCAGGCUGAGGCUCUGCAGAGGCAAACAAGAUUGGUGGGACCCCUGCAAGGAGUAGAACAAUGUUGGAUAUGCACCAGGAAGGACUGCAAGCCAACAGCAACAAUGCUUGCUUAUGGAGUCCAAGGCUUUUUGAGACCCCUAAAGAGGCUAGAAGUGGAAGCUAUUUGGGGGAAAUUGCAUGAUCCAGCCAUUCAUUUGAGAGAUGGAGAAUCUGAAGCCCACAAGAAACAACUACGUUUAUAUUCAAAACACAGUAAGACUAAAUUCUGCUUUCAGCACAGAGCUUUCUUAUUUCACUGCCUCCAUGAGGCUGUGGUCCUAACACUGCAGUUCUAAGAGGUGAGAAUAACUUGAGAAAGACAAAGGACUCCAAAAUUCCUGCUCGAUAUGGUCAUUUCCCCUCUUCGUCUGCCAGCAUCAUUCCUCUGAAACACCAUUUCCCAUGAAUAUUAGAACUGCAUAAAGGUGCUUAAA